rnacentral:rRNA from 1 species
GGAAUCUUGCGCAAUGGGCGAAAGCCUGACGCAGCGACGCCGCGUGAGGGAUGAAGGCCUUCGGGUUGUAAACCUCUGUCAGGAGGGAAGAAACCGGUGACGGCUAAUAGCUGUCGCCGUUGACGGUACCUCCAGAGGACGCACCGGCUACCUCCGUCCCAGCAGCCGCGGUAAGACGGAGGGUGCAAACGUUGUUCGGAAUCACUGGGCGUAAAGGGCGCGUAGGCGGACUUGUAAGUCAGGAGUGAAAACUCGGGGCUCAACCCCGAGCCUGCUUCUGAAACUGCAAGUCUUGAGGACCGGAGAGGAAAGUGGAAUUCCUAGUGUAGCGGUGGAAUGCGUAGAUAUUAGGAAGAACACCAGUGGCGAAGGCGACUUUCUGGACGGUUCCUGACGCUGAGGCGCGAAAGCUAGGGGAGCAAAC